ACGGGGUGCAGCAGGCGCGAAAACUUUACAAUGCUGGAAACAGCGAUAAGGGGACCUCGAGUGCCAGGUUACAAAUCUGGCUGUCGUGAUGCCUAAAAAGCAUUGCAUAGCAAGGGCCGGGCAAGACCGGUGCCAGCCGCCGCGGUAACACCGGCGGCUCGAGUGGUAACCGUUAUUAUUGGGUCUAAAGGGUCUGUAGCCGGCCGGGUAAGUCUCUUGGGAAAUCUGGCAGCUUAACUGUCAGGCUUUCAGGAGAUACUGUCUGGCUCGAGGCCGGGAGAGGUGAGAGGUACUUCAGGGGUAGGGGUGAAAUCUUGUAAUCCUUGAAGGACCACCAGUGGCGAAGGCGUCUCACCAGAACGGACCUGACGGCAAGGGACGAAAGCUAGGGGCACGAACCGGAUUAGAUAUCCGGGUAGUCCUAGCCGUAAACGAUACUCGCUAGGUGUCGGCAACGGUGCGACCGUUGUCGGUGCCGUAGGGAAGCCGUGAAGCGAGCCACCU
rnacentral:rRNA from 1 species